rnacentral:rRNA from 1 species
AUACGUAGGGGGCGAGCGUUAUCCGGAUUCAUUGGGCGUAAAGCGCGCGCAGGCGGCUCGUUAAGUCGGGUGUCAAAGCCCGGGGCCCAACCCCGGUCCGCAUCCGAAACUGGCGGGCUCGAGUUCGGUAGAGGAGGGUGGAAUUCCCAGUGUAGCGGUGAAAUGCGCAGAUAUUGGGAGGAACACCGAUGGCGAAGGCAGCCCUCUGGGCCGCAACUGACGCUGAGGCGCGAAAGCUGGGGGAGCGAACAGGAUUAGAUACCCUGGUAGUCCCAGCCGUAAACGAUGGACACUAGGUGUGGGGGGGACGGCCCCUCCGCGCCGCAGCCAACGCAUUAAGUGUCCCGCCUGGAGAGUACGGCCGCAAGGCUAAA